rnacentral:rRNA from 1 species
AACGAACGCUGGCGGCAGGCUUAACACAUGCAAGUCGAGCGCCCCGCAAGGGGAGCGGCAGACGGGUGAGUAACGCGUGGGAAUCUACCUUUUGCUACGGAAUAACUCAGGGAAACUUGUGCUAAUACCGUAUGUGCCCUUCGGGGGAAAGAUUUAUCGGCAAAGGAUGAGCCCGCGUUGGAUUAGGUAGUUGGUGGGGUAAUGGCCUACCAAGCCGACGAUCCAUAGCUGGUCUGAGAGGAUGAUCAGCCACAUUGGGACUGAGACACGGCCCAAACUCCUACGGGAGGCAGCAGUGGGGAAUAUUGGACAAUGGGCGCAAGCCUGAUCCAGCCAUGCCGCGUGAGUGAUGAAGGCCCUAGGGUUGUAAAGCUCUUUCACCGGUGAAGAUAAUGACGGUAACCGGAGAAGAAGCCCCGGCUAACUUCGUGCCAGCAGCCGCCGUAAGAC